rnacentral:rRNA from 1 species
CCCUUAGAUGUUCUGGGCCGCACGCGUGCUACACUGAUGCAUUCAACGAGUCUAAAACCUGGUCUGAUAGGACUGGGUAAUCUUUUGAAAGUGCAUCGUGAUAGGGAUAGAUUAUUGAAAUUAUUAAUCUUGAACGAGGAAUUCCUAGUAAACGCAGAUCAUCAAUCUGCAUUGAUUACGUCCCUGCCCUUUGUACACACCGCCCGUCGCACCUACCGAUUGGAUGGUCCGGUGAAGCCUCGGGAUUGUGGUUCUUGCCGCUUUAUUGUGGCGUGACCGCGAGAACUUGUCUAAACCUUAUCAUCUAGAGGAAGGUGAAGUCGUAACA